UGGGGAAUUUUGGACAAUGGGCGAAAGCCUGAUCCAGCAAUGCCGCGUGUGUGAAGAAGGCCUUCGGGUUGUAAAGCACUUUUGUCCGGAAAGAAAUCCUUGGCUCUAAUACAGUCGGGGGAUGACGGUACCGGAAGAAUAAGCACCGGCUAACUACGUGCCAGCAGCCGCGGUAAUACGUAGGGUGCAAGCGUUAAUCGGAAUUACUGGGCGUAAAGCGUGCGCAGGCGGUUUGCUAAGACCGAUGUGAAAUCCCCGGGCUCAACCUGGGAACUGCAUUGGUGACUGGCAGGCUAGAGUAUGGCAGAGGGGGGUAGAAUUCCACGUGUAGCAGUGAAAUGCGUAGAGAUGUGGAGGAAUACCGAUGGCGAAGGCAGCCCCCUGGGCCAAUACUGACGCUCAUGCACGAAAGCGUGGGGAGCAAAACAGGAUUAGAUACCCUGGUAGUCCACGCCCUAAACGAUGUCAACUAGUUGUUGGGGAUUCAUUUCCUUAGUAACGUAGCUAACGCGUGAAGUUGACCGCCUGGGGGGUACGGUCGCAAGAUUAAAACUCAAAGGAAUUGACGGGGUCAUAGCUGUUUCC
rnacentral:rRNA from 1 species